CGGGGCGUAGCUCAGUCUGGCAGAGCGCUGCUUUUGGGAAGCAGAGGCCCUCGGUUCGAAUCCGAGCGCCCCGACCA
rnacentral:tRNA from 2 species